GCCUUCCCCACAUGAAUUCUCAAUAACUUUGAAGAGCAAAGUGAGAAGAGGGCAGUGUUACACUGGGAGAAACCACUCGGAGGUGUGCCAGAUUUCCCCACGUCUCCUGGUAUUAGUUCCCGGUUUGUUCCUUAAUGUGAAUGAAAACCAUUUUGAGCAGACGGAAGAGCAAUACCGGAAGGCUGGGAUUCUGAGUUUCACCUAGAACGGAGAAGCCAGGACUUGGGAUUUUCCCCUCAAUCACCAUGCUGUGCUGAUGUGAGGA